CUUUUAAAAACUCUUA
rnacentral:sRNA from 1 species